UGGCUAGUGAUGUAGAUUAUC
rnacentral:miRNA from 1 species